rnacentral:rRNA from 1 species
ACUCCUACGGGAGGCAGCAGUGAGGAAUCUUCCACAAUGGGGGCAACCCUGAUGGAGCAACGCCGCGUGCAGGAUGAAGGCCUUCGGGUCGUAAACUGCUUUUAUAAGUGAAGAAUAUGACGGUAACUUAUGAAUAAGGAUCGGCUAACUACGUGCCAGCAGCCGCGGUAAUACGUAGGAGGCGAGCGUUAUCCGGAUUUACUGGGCG